rnacentral:tRNA from 1 species
UGGUCUUUUAGUUUAUUUUGGAAUUUUUUAUUUACUAUAAAAAGGUUUUGUAGACUU